UAGAUAUCUUUAUCUCCUUCUGGAUGUUUCAUUUCAUGUUAUCUACUGCUGUUAUCUACACCCUUCUCUCGUUUCACUUUCCGAACUAUUUGUCAGUCUACUCAGACAGAUGUUACCAACCAACCUGCCUAUGCUUGGAGCCAAAGACUUUAAUGACUCAGUGGAAGCAGCAGAGCUGAAUUAUGGGGAUGGAUAUGUAUCCACAGGACAUGAGAGUUUCUUCUGGAGCUGAUACAGGAGUUAUUUUUUACAAAAAACAAAACAAAAAAAAAAGAUCUGUAAUGUUGCUGUUUUGUCUUUUUCUUUUUUUAACCACAAUGGCUCAGUAGUAUGGAAGUCCUCAUGGGACUUUUGGGACGCUUUUUUAACAAUGAUUAUCUGUGAUUGCUGUUCUUGACCGCGCCGCCUCAUGCAGUUCAAACCCUCAGGCAUCUCCUAACCGCUGCUCAGUCCAUUUUCCAGGAGAUGAGCUUUUUUGGGCAAACUAGGGUAAGGGAAAUUGUUUUAGAAAAUGGCUUCCAGCAAAAAAAAAAAAAAAAACUACAACAUGCGGUGUGGUGGGGCUCCGCUCAACAGAUUAUUGGUUUUGUCCUGGUCCAAGAUCUUUCUAAGCCCUUGCUCAUAUGAUUACAGACAGAAGAGAGGUUCUAAUGAUGGGGCAGAAGCUUUCUGGACUCAAACCAAGGCAUUGUGUUGGAUAGAGCACAGCCAAGCACCGUCUCAGACAGGAUGUGAGGAAAUCAUUAUUUUCAUAAAGGCUGGCACACAUGCAUCCAAUAAUUUACAAAAACAUGUGUGUCAGUUGGAUUUGUUGACCUGGACAGCAGGAGAACAAAGCUCCAGCUUCCUGUUUGUGUGUCGCUGGCCUCAUUAGCGUGGCGUUGAAAGUGCAUGCUGAGGUGCAUUUCAACAUCCUGGUUUUGACUUGGAGAGCUCUUCAUGGGAAGUAACCAGUUUAUAUCAGCGGACGACUGCAUCGCUACACCCCCACCGGGUCCUCGAGGUUCUGCGAUCAGGACCAGCUUACAAAACUAAAGGAGACAGUUUUUUCUUCCGUUGCUCCUACACUAUGGAACGCUCUGCCUCUGUCACAGAAGACCUUUAAAAGUCACCAAAAAACAUACUUUUUUAAUCUGCUUUUAUUUAAUGUACCCUGUAUUUUUACUCUUUGUUGAAGCACUUUCUGAUUUUUCUUUUCUUGAAAGAUGCAAUAUAUAGUAAACAAAGUUUUAAUUACUUCCAUUGCUAUUAAGUUUCUGUGCUGCUUGUCCUUCAUAUCAAUUGCUUCUGAACCCAACGUAAGGACUCACAGAGACAACCAAUGAAGUGAGCCUGCCUCUGAGCACAGCUGUUGUGUCAAGCAGAAUGAAGCCACUAUGGGAGCCGCUCCCUCGCAGUGAUCCAGUCGGCUCUGUAAGUUAGCUAACACCUCUAUUUCCAGGCAACAGCAGGCGCUCUUUUUCUGUCCUGUCGACUGGUGUUCUGGUUUGGGAAGCUGGCACAUCAAAGGUUGUUUUGAAACUUUGAAUUCGUCCUCCCUUUUCAUUUUGCCUCGAAAUUAAAGUUUGGCGUUUCAGAAUUCUCAUCCGCAAAUUCCCUUUACUUCAAUUUCUGAGACUCUGUAAGUUAGAUAAACUUUCUAUGAAAGUUAUUGUUUAAACAGCUUAGACAAUAUUUUGAGUAGAUUAUCUCAAGUGUUUAUUUUACAACCCAAUUGCAUGCCGCUAGUUUUGUCCCUGCAUCAGGUAUACAGCUCUGUUUGUGAGCAGGAUCAGGUUACCUAACCUAUUGACCCUGCGACACCAUAAGGAGCUCUGUUAACAAAAACAAGCAACUUGGGUUCAUUUCACAUGACCUCCUUUGAGCUACCAUGCUCUUUUGUUUUUACUUCAAUAUCCAUGAUCAUCCAAAUUGCAUUAUCACAUUUUUGUCUUGUGAUUUAGUCCUUCCCACAGAUCGAUUGAGUCCGUGGUGCAAGAACUGACAACUCUGGUGUUCUCAGCGUUCUCUGCAUAUUUUACUCACCGUUCUCGACUGGCACGUCUGACGUGAGCUCCAGUAGAUAGGCACUAACAAGUCAACAACUGCGGCAAAUUGCCGUAUUUUUCUUUCUUUCGACGUUUUUUUAGAAGCUUGUUAGCUUCAUGGGUGGCAGUUCCGACUGGCAUGUGGUAGCAAUAUUCUGUCAACAUAACCACAAACCUCCCCAGCAAAAUAAGCGUUUCUGCCAAUCUGCAGGAACCAAACUGGAGCUGCACAUGUUUAUUGUUCCCAUUAAGAUUUACUGGGAAAUAGACAAGACAUGCUGUUGCAUCACAGAGUACGUAAAAGCAGCAGUUUGCUAUAAGCAC